GAUGAAGAACGUAGCGAAAUGCGAUACGUAGUGUGAAUUGCAGAAUUCAGUGAAUCAUCGAAUCUUUGAACGCACAUUGCACCUCUCGGUAUUCCGGGAGGUAUGCCUGUUCGAGCGUCAUUUGUACCCUCAAGCUCUGCUUGGUGUUGGGUGUUUGUUCCGCCUCUGUGUGUGAACUCGCCUCAAAACAAUUGGCAGCCGGCGUACUUGUUUCGGAGCGCAGCACAUUUUGCGAUCCAGAUCAACGUACAGCGGCAUCCAAGAAGCCGUAUUUAACGCUCUUGACCUCGGAUCAGGUAGGGAUACCCGCUGAACUUAAGCAUAUCAAUAAGCGGAGGA
rnacentral:misc_RNA from 1 species